UACGUAGGUGGCAAGCGUUGUCCGGAUUUACUGGGCGUAAAGAGCACGCAGGCGGUCGUUCAAGUCGCGUGUGAAAGCCCCCGGCUCAACUGGGGAGGGUCACGCGAUACUGAUCGACUCGAAGGCAGGAGAGGGUAGUGGAAUUCCCGGUGUAGUGGUGAAAUGCGCAGAUAUCGGGAGGAACACCAAUGGCGAAGGCAGCUUGCUGGGACGGUACUGACGCUGAGACGCGAAAGCGUGGGGAGCAAACAGG
rnacentral:rRNA from 1 species